GGGUUUUUUAACUUCUGGGUUGAAUCACUACCCAUCAGUGAUAUGGGGUGGCUUUGAAUGGGACUGGAUUCACCAAGGUUUGCUUGAUCUACCUGAGCACAAAAAGAUAUCUCGGUGGGACCAGGCCCUUGUGGGUUCAGCCUAGGGGAAUUUCCUUCAUCCAAUCUUCCAUUGCGUUUCUAUAUAAAACUCUAUAUUAUUUAAACCUUUAUAUUUUUAAUUUUUGAUCAUGGGCCUAAAGUGUCAGAUUAUCUGGUGGGCCUUAAGAGACACCUUAUUCUACCUACUUACCCAGACGUUGAAGGGUGAUUAGAGUGAUUAGAAUGGAGAGCAGAAGUGAAAGGAAGAGAGAUGGGCAGAAGAGAAGCUCAAGGGGAGCAAAAGGUAAAGGGACAUUAAAUGGGAAGAUCAAAAGGAUGGAGCUUGGGGAGGAGGUACAAUAUGAAAAGCGAUUAAAAAAGAAAGUAGACGGGCAGAAAGAGAAAAACAGUGUUAUUAAAGCACGAGAGAAAAAAAGGGUGGAAGAGGAGGAAAAUAAGAGAAGAACCCUAUUUAAGAGAAGAGAGAGAAAGGACAGGAGAGAAUAACAAGUAUGAAAAACAUAAGACAAGGGUGAAGACGGCCUGGGCCUGAUUGCGCCUUCCUAGGUCUGAGGGACUGAUGCGUAAAACAUUGCUACAAAAAGAGACCCCCCUUUUAUAUGUCAAAAAUCUGGUUAUGAGAAACACAUCUAGAAUUUUCUUGAUGUUACAAGCUGGUUUUACUUGUGUUUAUAUAACAUUGCAGUGAGAUAUACAAAUGUAUGUACGGUAUGUGUAAUGGGUAUUUACUCGGGGGUCAGGCGGGUUCGGGCCAACACUCACACAAAAUAUUUGGGCUGCCCUUGCCUCCCUUCCUGCCCACGACCUAACAGUGCCCCACUUCUGCAUCCAGCGACCAAUAUUCAUAGAGGCUUGCCAGACAUAGUACGUAUGCAUGAGUGGUAAAUCAGUGAUAGUGAUAUGUACUGUAGCAAGAGAAUGACCUGUAUGUCUUCUGGUUUUUUUUUUUAGGAAGGACAUAAGUGUGACAGUAGCUCCAGCUCUGACAGUGACUCUGAUGGAGGAAAGAAAAAAAAGGACAAGCACUAGAGUCUCACAACGAGCAAUAUCCCUGCUGUGGAAUCCUAGAAGUUUCCAUUUUAGCUUGCCACUUGAAUUUUAUUAUUUUUUGGAGGUUCAUGUGAAUUCUUAAAAUAAAAGAAAUUACAAAGUCA